UACGUAGGGGGCAAGCGUUGUCCGGAAUUAUUGGGCGUAAAGGGCGCGUAGGCGGAUAGUUAAGUCCGGUGUGAAAGAUCAGGGCUCAACCCUGAGAGGGCAUCGGAAACUGGUUAUCUUGAGGACAGGAGAGGAAAGUGGAAUUCCACGUGUAGCGGUGAAAUGCGUAGAUAUCAGGAGGAACACCGGUGGUGUAAACGGCUUUCUGGACCAUAACUGACGCUGAUGCACGAAAGCGUGGGUAGCAAACAGG
rnacentral:rRNA from 1 species